rnacentral:misc_RNA from 1 species
UUUCCGUAGGUGAACCUGCGGAAGGAUCAUUACUGGGUUACAGGGCGCUCCGGCGCCCGUCACCACCCCCUGCUUCCCGCCCCCUUUCGGCGCGAAGGGCCCCCUCGCGGGGCCCCCUGCCGGAACCCAAACUCUGAUCGAACAUGUAGCCUGAGUCAAUAAGCAAAUAGUUAAAACUUUCAACAACGGAUCUCUUGGUUCUGGCAUCGAUGAAGAACGCAGC